UAUGACUCAAUAAUGCAAAGCCAUUCUCUUUGUCAUAUUGUUAAUGGCUCGCUAUAAACUACCUUACAACUUGAGUUUCUACUCCAUUCUUACUGGACUUUUUUCAAUCCUUUAAUUUUUUAGUUUUUGUUCCAGUCAAAGUUUUUAGUUGCAUGAAACAGAAACUAACUCUGCCUGAUUUAAGUAGGAAAAGAAUUUGCUGAGAGGCUAUUGAGUAGCUCACAAAAUCAUGGAGCAGCAGGCUCAGAAACAGUAUUUUUGAGCAGUGGCUCCGAAGGCACCGUCUUCUUCAAGAAGUUUAUCCGGAAGCCAAUGCACCCAUUGGACAUAACCGGGAAUCCUACAUGGUUCCUUUUAUACCACUGUACAGAAACGGUGAUUUCUUUAUUUCAUCCAAAGAUCUGGGCUAUGACUAUAGCUAUCUACAAGAUUCAGACCCAGACUCUUUUCAAGACUACAUUAAGUCCUAUUUGGAACAAGCAAGUCGGAUCUGGUCAUGGCUCCUUGGGGCGGCCAUGGUAGGGGCCGUCCUCACUGCCCUGCUGGCAGGGCUUGUGAGCUUGCUGUGUCGUCACAAGAGAAAGCAGCUUCCUGAAGAAAAGCAGCCACUCCUCAUGGAGAAAGAGGAUUACCACAGCUUGUAUCAGAGCCAUUUAUAAAAGGCUUAGGCAAUAGAGUAGGGCCAAAAAGCCUGACCUCACUCUAACUCAAAGUAAUGUCCAGGUUCCCAGAGAAUAUCUGCUGAUAUUUUUCUGUAAAGACCAUUUGCAAAAUUGUAACCUAAUACAAAGUAUAGCCUUCUUCCAACUCAGGUAGAACGCACCUGUCUUUGUCUUGCUGUUUUCACUCAGCCCUUUUAACAUUUUCCCCUAAGCCCAUAUGUCUAAGGAAAGGACGCUAUUUGGUAAUGAGGAACUGUUACUUGUAUGUGAAUUAAAGUGCUCUUCUUAUUUUAAAAAAUUGAAAUAAUUUUGAUUUUUGCCUUCUGAUUAUUUAAAGAUAUAUAUAUGUUUUAUUGGCCCCUUCUUUAUUUUAAUAAAACAGUGAGAAAUCUACAUUAACUGACUCCUUUAGGCUUCAGAAAC
rnacentral:lncRNA from 1 species